rnacentral:tRNA from 1 species
GUUGAGGUAAACUAAAAAGGUUACUAGGCUCAUAAUCUAGGUGUGGGUUUUACUCCUCUCAGCA